rnacentral:rRNA from 1 species
UACGGAGGAUCCAAGCGUUAUCCGGAAUCAUUGGGUUUAAAGGGUCCGUAGCCGGUUUAAUAAGUCAGUGGUGAAAGCCCAUCGCUCAACGGUGGAACGGCCAUUGAUACUGUUAAACUUGAAUUAUUAGGAAGUAACUAGAAUAUGUAGUGUAGCGGUGAAAUGCUUAGAGAUUACAUGGAAUACCAAUUGCGAAGGCAGGUUACUACUAAUGGAUUGACGCUGAUGGACGAAAGCGUGGGUAGCGAACAGG